GACAGAGGUGCCGAGCGUUAGGCGGAAUCACUGGGCUUAAAGCGUGUGUAGGCGGGUCGUUAAGUGCCUUGUGAAAUCCCACAGCUCACCUGUGGAACUGCUUGGCAUACUGGCGAUCUUGAGCCACUUAGGGGCAACCGGAACAAACGGUGGAGCGGUGAAAUGCGUAGAUAUCUGGAGGAACACCGGUGGCGAAGGCGGCGUUCUGGACUGCAACUGACACUGAGGAACGAAAGCCAGGGGAGCAAACGGG
rnacentral:rRNA from 1 species